UUGCCCCUGCGUGCUGUUUCUUCCUGGGUUGUUGCUCAGUGCGUGUUUGUUUCUUGCUCCGACACCUGGGGUGUUGGUCAGUGCUGUGGUGUCUACAUUACUUCACUCCACAGAGAGUUAGAUAGUGAAGGAAGUGGUGCUGAGAAUUGCGCAACCGAUUUGCGGAUUCCUGGGUGCGUGAUUGAUUUGGGCGAGGAGAGGGAAGGCGAUUCUGGAGGAAACGGGAGAGAGAGAGAGAGAGAGAGAGAGAGAGAGAGAGAUCGCUCGCGAAAGGAAUAUAUAUCGGCCUUAACCAAAGACUCCGCUGCUUCACCAGAGUGUCAAGGCACGGAACCAGAACUUGAAAAAGAAGAAUAAUCACCAGGACACUCGGAUCGUUUUGAGGUAUGUGUUUUUCUCUGCUUUGCUUCCUUUUGUGGAAUUGGAUCCUUCUGCCGAGCCGGUUGGUGGAAAUCACGUUUUCGUCCUUAUUUUGUGAUAAGGACGACACCGACGUCGUCUAACUCGACUCUUCCAGACUAUCAUCAUCUGCACUCCUUUUUUCGCUCUCCCAAACCUGAUACACCAGAAUUGAUAUCAUCCCAAACAAUUAUCAUCCCAAAAUCUUUUUCAAAUCCAUCAAUCGUAUCUUACCGGACCAACAAAAUUAACUCUCCCCAAAUCUCUGUCCUCAAGAUCAAAAAUAAAGGAGCUUCAAAUUCUUUGCUGAUUCAUAAGGGCAAGAACGUAGAUAGCUCAGAGAAAAGGAAGAGGGGGACGGGAAGCAGUCAAAAUCGGUUUUCUAAGUUCUAUACAAAGAAGUGUGUGCAUUAUUCUUCUGCCGCUGUUCCUGUGUACAUUGUUUGGCAUUAUCUCAGUUUCUUAUUCCUAUUCAGAUAUUCAGGACAGCGUGCUGUCAACUUCUUUAGCUGUUUUGGGUUCAAAUAUAAAUUUUUCAGCAAUUAUCGGUGAGAACAACAAAAAAGGAGCAUAUCUUCUCACUUUUGCUACUGCUCAUCCAACUCAAUUAGCAACCAAUGGAAGAGAUGAGUUUUGCAGGCAAUGGAAGUCUCGCUUUAUAUAUAAACAUGAAACCCAAACCAACAACCAAGGCCUCUCCAUUUCCAGCUUAUAAGGCUUUUGAUUUUGCUGCGGUGACAUGCUGUGAUAGUUACUUUUCCAUUUGCCCAUUUGUUGAUAACAUCCCAUGUAUUUCAACUAAUUAUCGUCUUACAAUUUUGCUUCAAUUCACAGCCUCUAUCUUCCAUUCA